AAAGGGCGGGGGGAGACUGAGAGGGGGUGGCGCGCGCGCCAUUUCUAGUCGUUUUCAAAGAGCCUCGCGCUCGUUCUCACGGGCCCCCAUCGCCGGCGCCCGCUUUGCCCUGCAUAAUAAAAUGGCUAAUCAGGUGAAUGGUAAUGCGGUACAGUUAAAAGAAGAGGAAGAACCAAUGGACACUUCCAGUGUAACUCACACAGAGCACUACAAGACACUGAUAGAGGCAGGCCUCCCACAGAAGGUGGCAGAGAGACUUGAUGAAAUAUUUCAGACAGGGUUGGUAGCUUAUGUCGAUCUUGAUGAAAGAGCAAUUGAUGCUCUCAGAGAAUUUAAUGAAGAAGGCGCCCUCUCUGUCCUCCAACAGUUUAAGGAAAGUGACCUGUCUCAUGUACAGAACAAAAGUGCAUUUUUAUGUGGAGUUAUGAAGACCUACAGGCAAAGGGAGAAACAAGGGAGCAAGGUACAAGAAUCAACAAAGGGACCUGAUGAAGCAAAGAUUAAGGCUUUGCUCGAGAGGACUGGUUACACAUUAGAUGUAACCACAGGUCAGAGGAAAUAUGGUGGUCCUCCUCCAGAUAGUGUGUAUUCUGGUGUACAACCUGGCAUUGGGACAGAGGUUUUUGUAGGUAAGAUACCAAGAGAUCUCUAUGAAGAUGAGUUGGUGCCACUGUUUGAAAAGGCUGGUCCCAUUUGGGACUUGCGUCUUAUGAUGGAUCCUCUGUCUGGUCAGAAUAGAGGAUAUGCAUUCAUUACCUUCUGUGGAAAGGAUGCCGCACAGGAAGCUGUCAAGCUGUGUGACAGCUAUGAAAUCCGUCCUGGUAAACACCUUGGAGUAUGCAUCUCGGUGGCAAACAACAGGCUGUUUGUUGGAUCGAUUCCAAAGAACAAAACCAAGGAAAACAUAUUGGAAGAAUUCAGCAAAGUCACAGAGGGUUUGGUGGACGUUAUUCUCUAUCAUCAACCCGAUGACAAAAAGAAGAAUCGGGGGUUCUGCUUCCUUGAGUAUGAAGACCACAAGUCGGCAGCACAAGCCCGGCGCAGGCUUAUGAGUGGGAAAGUCAAAGUCUGGGGCAAUGUUGUGACCGUGGAGUGGGCCGACCCUGUGGAAGAACCAGAUCCGGAGGUUAUGGCCAAGGUGAAAGUUUUAUUUGUGAGAAAUUUGGCCACUACAGUGACAGAGGAAAUAUUGGAGAAAUCCUUUUCAGAAUUUGGGAAACUAGAAAGAGUGAAGAAACUAAAAGAUUAUGCCUUUGUUCACUUUGAAGACCGGGGAGCAGCAGUUAAGGCCAUGGAUGAGAUGAAUGGGAAAGAAAUAGAAGGGGAAGAAAUUGAGAUAGUGUUAGCCAAGCCUCCAGACAAGAAAAGGAAAGAGCGCCAGGCUGCGAGACAGGCCUCCAGAAGCACUGCGUAUGAAGAUUAUUAUUACCAUCCCCCACCUCGUAUGCCGCCUCCUCUGAGAGGCCGGGGGCGUGGGGGGGGGAGAGGUGGCUACGGCUACCCCCCCGAUUACUAUGGCUAUGAAGAUUAUUAUGACGACUACUAUGGCUAUGAUUACCAUGACUACCGUGGAGGCUAUGAAGACCCCUACUAUGGCUACGAUGAUGGCUAUGCAGUAAGAGGAAGAGGAGGAGGAAGGGGUGGGCGCGGUGCUCCGCCACCACCACGGGGGCGCGGAGCACCACCUCCACGAGGUAGAGCUGGCUAUUCUCAGAGGGGGGCACCUUUGGGACCGCCAAGAGGAGCUCGGGGCGGGAGAGGGGGCCCUGCACAGCCACAGAGAGGCCGUGGUUCGCGAGGAGCUCGGGGUAACCGUGGGGGCAACGUAGGAGGCAAGAGAAAGGCCGAUGGGUACAACCAGCCUGACUCCAAGCGCCGUCAGACCAACAGCCAGCAGAACUGGGGCUCCCAGCCCAUCGCCCAGCAGCCGCUUCAGCAAGGUGGCGACUAUUCUGGGAAGCGUGGUUGAGGCUGCCCUGACCUGACAUGUCAUGAUGUCGACUUGCUAGGUGGGGUUCGCUGGGGACGAUACCAAUGGAGUUGUUGGUAAGAGCACUUUUCUUUCUCAUUUUUUGAUCAGUAAAGGGACACAAAGGGUGGGGGAAAUACCCAAACCCUUUAAAUUGGGUAAUUUACAUGGGGUAUGUAGAAAAAUGAGACUUUCAUACUUACUUUACUAUUCUGCUGUCAGCAGUUUGUAAAAAUUUAGUGAGGACUCACACACUAUAUAAUAUUGAAUGAAGUAUUUGCCAAUUCAUACAAAAUGUAGAGUGCUCAGUCUUCAAGAAAUUUACAAUCUAAUAAGCAGUUUAAAUAAGGGGCAGAAUGGUGAUGGAGUCUUAAGACUGGAAUUAGAGGAGACUAAUCCCAGUACUUUCACUGAUGUGCCUUAGGACAGGACAUUGAUAAACAUUUUUGACUUCAUGGGCCUCCCUGCUGUCAUCCUAAAAUAAAAGAUGGGAUGGAGUAGGGCUGGCGGUGGAUGUUCUGCCCACUCAAAUGAUCUGUGGGAAUGGCUUAUCACACAUUUGCAUUAUCUUGUGAUUCCUUUUUACUUUUCCAUUGCUGUUUCAUGCAAAUGUGACCACUAGCUAGUUAUUUUAGUGAUAUCCUGAAGAUUUAGUUUGAGAGACUGGUUUUAAAAGUAGAGAAAUUGGCUUUUUGCAGUCAACCUUCCAAAAGGAAGGGAUUCUUCAUUCAUGUUUGUAAGUAGAAAUUACAGAUUUAUAAAUUUGGGAUUUAGAAAAAGUAGUGUGAAUCAUCUAUAUUGAGGACAGUGUGGAAGUUCAGUGGGAUAAAUUGAUGGCAUUAUAAUCACUAAUAAUAAUAAUUGACAUACAAUGCUUUGACAUCUGCAAGGCAUUUUAUAUAACUUAUAGACAGCAUCACAAACUAAACAACUUGUCUUUUCUAGGACACUCCCAGGACACGAUGACUAUGGGGUAUAUUAGAAUUAACAAUGAAAAGGGAUCACUUUUUAAAUAAGACUUAUAAAAUGUAAACAGAUUUAUAAUUUACAAUAUUUAACAGUAAUAUCAUUAAUGCACUUUCACCCAGUUUCACUGUAAUAUUGUCAAAUUUUGCUGGCCAAUAGGGUAGUUAACUCUCCUAAGGCUCUACUUAUCAUCUUUUCUGUUUUGUGCUUCUUACUGUUCUUGGUCCUGUUGUGUUUGGGUGGGGGGAGAGGAACCUGUUCAUGUCUUCAGGAGGGGAACUCUGAACAGUAAAGCCUUUGUUUUGCCCUCCUAGCAGGACAUCCAGGAUGGUGAUGGGGGACCAAAAAGGAGACAAAUCCUGGAGAGGUUGGGGGAAGAGUGGCAACCAAGCAUGAUUGGGGUUGGGCAGGGCCCACUGUCAGUAGUAGGAGAUUCCGUGAUUUUGUGGCUGUGGGUACUGUCUCCACCAAUGCACAUUGCACCUUGUUUAUGCUUCAGUAGAUGGUCUUCAUGAAUUGGCGCAUUCACGAUCACCCUGCGGCUAACCUGGUAAUGAGGCUCUCUGAACUUAGCUAGGCGGGUCCUUGGAUGGCAGACGCCCAGCUCACCGCUGGGCCCGUGCUCAGUGUUUGCAGCUCGCCAGGACCUUCCGGAGCUUGCACUUUGCCUGGCAUUGCCUUCAGGAACCCAGGUCACUUCCACACUACCAUGUUGCUUCAAAGGAAGACUUCAAUGGAGGCAUCCUUCAGUCCAAGACAUCAGAAACUUAGGGAUCUAAAUAACUGGAUUUCCUCAUGGAGAUCACCAGCACUACUGUUUCACAUAUGGUCUGGCAGAAUUAAGAUGUCAGAAAAAUUAAUUACCCUGCAUUACAUUCAUGAGGAUCUUCUUGCCACAUUAGCUAAGAUACAUGCCCAAGGUCACAUACCUAUAAGUGGCGGACCAAGACUGGACCUUGGAGCUCCUGAGUGCAGGGCCUGUGUGCGUGCUGAGAUCGGACAGUUCUGUCCUUGCCUGUCUUUUAUCUGGGACCCAAGAUUCCUGAGAUAGAUGCUGCAGGGUGCACCUACGGGACCAGGGAUUUGGAGAAAGCCUUCUGGAGAAGAGCAGACCCCGAGGGAAGGAAGGGCAAGCCUGUUUUAGUUUUCUCUCAGUGAGAGAAGUGGCCAAGACUCCACACCUGCCUACAGUAGUUCUAGAAAAGGUUAACAUCGAGUGCAGGUCUCUUUAUGACUUGAUUGAUCUUUCUGUGGCCAUUCUGAUGAGGAAUCUCUCCAAACCUAGCUAGGAGACUGACCCCCAGAAGACAAGCAGUUACACACUGGGCUCAUCCUUGAAGACUCUUCCAGCCUGAUGGGACAAUGAGGGCCCGGGCUCUCUUGGCCUGGCCUCUGAGAAGCAAAGGUGGCUUCUUCCCAGUGUGGGCCGUCCUUCUCUGGUGCCUGUGGUUAUGCCUUUUGAAACUUAUUCUCUGUUAGCAUCCACCUAAACCAGCUCUUCCUGGUCAUUUUUCCUGGAAUAAAGUGCAGGAGUCCCAUGAAAGCAUCUUGUGUGCUCCAGCGAACCAGCAGCCUUCAAACAUCCCAGCUGGCUGAGAAGGAUGAAGCAAGUGCCAAUUGAGAAAUCCUAAUUAAGCAGGUGUGCUUGGAAGACCCUGCCAUACGGGCAGUCUGUCCAGCAUCACACCUUGUGUAAAGUAAUUGUAUUCUGACUAUCCGGGGAUGUUAGAUUUUCUUUAAAAACAUUGAUGUACUUUUCAAAAAAACAAAAAAGGAAAAACAAAUCCCCAAACCCAGUUAUACAAGUGGAAAAUACGAGCUGCAGCAGGAGGAGUGAAUGUUGUCGCUAGGGAAUCCCCCUUUCCAAAUAAGCGGCCUUCUGCUCUCCUGCCUGCUCCUGAAUUCAUUCCUAAACACUGCCAUUUGGGUAGAGAAGCCAGCUGCCUCUCAUAAUAAAUUCCUCAUCCCAUGGUGUUUGUCCUGAAGUAGCAAUGACUUGAGCAUGUCACGGUCAGGUAGGCCGUGGGAGCCGAGGGCUCCGCCUGGGCGGAUGUGGACGGCUCCGAGCCGCCGUUUCAGCCCUCCGAGUACUUUGUGCAAGAAGCUGGCGACUUCCGCCUUCUCCCUGGGCUCUCUAAGGGGUUCUGCCCAUUUUCCGGUCCCCUCUCCCCCCCUGUCCGUACUGAGCUUUUGGGCGCUGCGCAUUUCCCAGGAGGGUGCCCCAACCAUCGCUCCAGCGCGCAUUCGUGCGGUUUAUCCCUGCCGUGCUCUGGGAAGGGAGCGACGUGCUGCUGUUUUCCUCAUUUUUACAGCGGAGAAAACUGAGGCCGACAGCGUUCAGUGCCGGGCCCAGAGUCAGCGCCAGCGAAUGCCCGGGGCUGGCUUGGAACUGGGGCCUCCCAGGGCUCUGUGCCCUGCGCCAUCCCAAAGGAGAGCCGGAGACCUUCGUCCCCGGCUGCCGCUGAGGCGGGCUGCGCCCUAGGCGACAGGAGCGGUAACAGGGCCCGAGGCGCGUGGUUCUUCUUGGGUGCGGGAGCCUCACUUCCCUUCUGGGAAGCUCCUCUCAGCAGCUCAGGGAGGCCGGGGCUCGUGCCCCUGUUUUCCACGUGACGAGCUGCCGCCCAAAGAAUGCCGCCUGCGGAGAUGCCCAGGAAGCCCUGGACAAAGAGGCCAGACUUAGUUAUCAGAGCCCAGGUAGCUAACGCCUCCCCUCCUCGGCUCCUCAGGGACCUGCUUUGCGCCACCUCUUUUGUAAACUGGAUUAAAAAAAAUAAACUUUUCUAAAGCGA